CUUUCACUCAUAUUAUUGUGUCUCUUUGUUCAACGAAUGUCUGGCAGCCUGUGAUGUUAAUAUAGUUGAAAACAGCAGGCAGGGAGGUCAACACCCUACAGGCAGCCUGUGCUGUUAAUAUAGUUGAAAACAGCAGGCAGGGAGGUCAACACCCUACAGGCAGCCUGUGAUGUUAAUAUAGUUGAAAACAGCAGACAGGGAGGUCAACACCCUACAGGCAGCCUGUGAUGUUAAUAUAGUUGAAAACAGCAGACAGGGAGGUCAACACCCUACAGGCAGCCUGUGAUGUUAAUAUAGUUGAAAACAGCAGGCAGGGAGGUCAACACCCUACAGGCAGCCUGUGAUGUUAAUAUAGUUGAAAACAGCAGGCAGGGAGGUCAACACCCUACAGGCAGCCUGUGAUGUUAAUAUAGUUGAAAACAGCAGACAGGGAGGUCAACACCCUACAGGCAGCCUGUGAUGUUAAUAUAGUUGAAAACAGCAGGCAGGGAGGUCAACACCCUACAGGCAGCCUGUGCUGUUAAUAUAGUUGAAAACAGCAGGCAGGGAGGUCAACACCCUACAGGCAGCCUGUGAUGUUAAUAUAGUUGAAAACAGCAGGCAGGGAGGUCAACACCCUACAGGCAGCCUGUGAUGUUAAUAUAGUUGAAAACAGCAGGCAGGGAGGUCAACACCCUACAGGCAGCCUGUGCUGUUAAUAUAGUUGAAAACAGCAGGCAGGGAGGUCAACACCCUACAGGCAGCCUGUGAUGUUAAUAUAGUUGAAAACAGCAGGCAGGGAGGUCAACACCCUACAGGCAGCCUGUGAUGUUAAUAUAGUUGAAAACAGCAGGCAGGGAGGUCAACACCCUACAGGCAGCCUGUGAUGUUAAUAUAGUUGAAAACAGCAGGCAGGGAGGUCAACACCCUACAGGCAGCCUGUGCUGUUAAUAUAGUUGAAAACAGCAGGCAGGGAGGUCAACACCCUACAGGCAGCCUGUGAUGUUAAUAUAGUUGAAAACAGCAGGCAGGGAGGUCAACACCCUACAGGCAGCCUGUGAUGUUAAUAUAGUUGAAAACAGCAGGCAGGGAGGUCAACACCCUACAGGCAGCCUGUGCUGUUAAUAUAGUUGAAAACAGCAGGCAGGGAGGUCAACACCCUACAGGCAGCCUGUGAUGUUAAUAUAGUUGAAAACAGCAGGCAGGGAGGUCAACACCCUACAGGCAGCCUGUGCUGUUAAUAUAGUUGAAAACAGCAGGCAGGGAGGUCAACACCCUACAGGCAGCCUGUGAUGUUAAUAUAGUUGAAAACAGCAGGCAGGGAGGUCAACACCCUACAGGCAGCCUGUGCUGUUAAUAUAGUUGAAAACAGCAGACAGGGAGGUCAACACCCUACGUAUUGCACCAAUAGGGUUAACCCACAUGGUGGGAAUUGUUACCUGGCUCACACAAAAGCAUGUCUCAGACACCAAUGUAGCAAACAGCGGGGCAGGGAAGCGAACUCAGGUUGCAUGUGUCAAAGGUGAACAACCGACGCAUCGCACCAUUGACAUCAAUUGGGUAACUUGGUUGAAAUUGUGACGUGGCUCAUAUAGUGAGGAUCACUACACUAUAGAGAAACUAUGAUACAAUUACAUUAUCAUAUGAAAUGUAGAGGAUCACUACACUAUAGUGGAACUAUGACACAAUUACAUUAUCAUACGAAAUGUUAAAUGUAGAACUAUAAUAUAUGAAUAUUGAUAUAUUGAAUUUGACUUGACCACGUCCAGUCAGCUCCAUGUUGUAUGAUUAAACUGACACCAACCUGUCUCAGUAGAAGUAGACUGUUAGGAGUGUUUUACUGUCAUUCACUAUACUAACAUUACACCAGACAUUUAAUGUAUCUACUGUUAGGAGUG